rnacentral:rRNA from 1 species
AUGGCACCCGAGACGUGUCCGCAGCCAGAAGCAGCGAAGUUGCCGUACAAGAAGCUGGGAGAUUCAGAUCUCCUUAUUAGCGGGAUAACUCUUGGAACAAUGAUCUUUGGAUAGCAAAGAACAGAGAAGGAAUCCCAUGAUAUGCUCUCUUAUUAUUUUAAUCAGGGCAUCAACAUACUGGACACCGCAGGUUGUUACUACCGAAUGCAACCCAAGGAGACUCAAGGGAGGACUGAUCUAUAUGUAGGCAGGUGGAUGAAAUCCAAGCCACGAGACAAAACAACUUUAGCCACCAAAAUUUCUGGUUAUUCAGAUCACACUUUUCAUCGGUACAAUGCAAAGGUGUGUGUUGAUGAUCCCAUUAUGAAGGAAAGUGUCGAAAAGAGCCUUUCAUGCUUAUCUAAAGACUACACUGAUUUUCUUCACAUACACUGGCUAGAUAGGUAUGUCGCACGUUACGGUGAAUUCAGUUACAAUUCAACCAAAUGGAGGCCAAGCGUCCCAUGUGUGGAUCAAUGGAAAGCUUUCAGGAACUAAUUGGUAAAGGGAAGGGUACAAUAUAUCGGUGUUUCCAAUGAAACCACGUACGGAGUAAUGCAGUUUGUACAUGCUGCAAAGCUUGAUGGACUUCCAAAGAUUAUGAGCAUCUAGAAUGGUUAUAGUCAACUUGUGAGAUGCAGCUUCGAAGGUGAAACAGAGAUGUCAGCCAUAAUUUAUUCAUUUUCAUUCACUGGAAUUCCAUGCCAUCCCUGUUGUUCUGAAACUUAUUUGCAGACAUGUAAUUUAGAGAAAGAGGGAGGAAAGAACUCCUCGGUUGUAGUUCAGAUCAUCGGCCUGCUGUCAUCUUUUUCAUAA